rnacentral:lncRNA from 1 species
GAUUUAGUCACUAUGACAUGCUACUGAUUGGUUAAAACAGAACAAAAAUUUGAAACCUUUUGUGAGAUAGGCAAAUAUUUUCACCUGUCAACUACAUACUUACAUUGAAAUCACUGCAUGUGUCAGCAUUUGGGGAAGUAAUAAAACUCUCUUAUCAAUGUACAAUUGCCUCUGACAAUUUCAUUUUUGGAUAUUAAGAAGCUUAUUGAUUUCAAUAAACGAGUUCAUUGAAUUGUAAAUAGAUGUUUAUAACCAGCAUUGCCAUAUCAAUAAUUCUAUUAUAAGUUCAUAGUUUAACUUCAUAUUUGAAUAAAAACAAUGAGUUCUUAAGCUUAACUAAAUUAGAUUUAAUGUUAGUAUUCACGUGACUCAAACUCUUUUGAAUAAAAUUACACAUGACACAGAUGAAAAGAUUAUCUUUUAACUCUUUAUCAUUGAUUAUUUCAACACAAAUGUGGUAACUUCAGGAUAGUUCUCCAGGUGGGCUCAGACUGGCCCAGCUCUCCCCAGUUUCUCACUUGCAGUUCUCAAGAAUAACUGUAGAAUACUCGAAAAAUCCCACAUCCUGAGAUAAGGCGAAACUGGCUAGAAGAGCUCACUCUCUGUUCUAAUACCUCUCCCGGCGCCGUCUCCUAGAUACAGGAUUUCCUUCAGUGCUUUAGUCCAGAGCUUCGCAUCGUCCAUGAUGUAAAACCCGGGCAGGUUGCUUUUCCGGGUCCUUCAGUUGCAGUGCGAGUGCCGCAUGCGCAGAGGAGACUCCAUCCGCCAUGGGCCGGUUUCCUGAGACUUGGACCGGCUGGCAAUGAAUCCUAGGCUCCUGUGUCCCUUGUUACCUAUCUGUAAGGAAACCGCUUCGUGCAGCUUGUAAUGUGUGUAGGCGUCUGUCUUACCAAACUCAAGACAACUUGGUAACCAGCACACAAUACUGGUUUAUAGUAACCACUAACUUCCUCAGAAGCAGCAAACUUUUAGAGUUUUUCAAUUUAAUUAUGGUUAUAUGA